rnacentral:rRNA from 1 species
AUUGAACGCUGGCGGCAGGCUUAACACAUGCAAGUCGAGCGGGGGAAGGUAGCUUGCUACCGGACCUAGCGGCGGACGGGUGAGUAAUGCUUAGGAAUCUGCCUAUUAGUGGGGGACAACAUCUCGAAAGGGAUGCUAAUACCGCAUACGUCCUACGGGAGAAAGCAGGGGAUCUUCGGACCUUGCGCUAAUAGAUGAGCCUAAGUCGGAUUAGCUAGUUGGUGGGGUAAAGGCCUACCAAGGCGACGAUCUGUAGCGGGUCUGAGAGGAUGAUCCGCCACACUGGGACGGAGACAUGUCCCAGACUCCUACGGGAGGCAGCAGUGGGGAAUAUUGGACAAUGGGUGGAACCCUGAUCCAGCCAUGCCGCGUGUGUGAAGAAGGCCUUAUGGUUGUAAAGCACUUUAAGCGAGGAGGAGGCUACUUUAGUUAAUACCUAGAGAUAGUGGACGUUACUCGCAGAAUAAGCACCGGCUAACUCUGUGCCAGCCGCCGCGGUAA